GAUGAAGAACGUAGCGAAAUGCGAUACGUAAUGUGAAUUGCAGAAUUCAGUGAAUCAUCGAAUCUUUGAACGCACAUUGCGCCCGCCAGUAUUCUGGCGGGCAUGCCUGUUCGAGCGUCAUUUCAACCAUCAAGCCCCCGGGCUUGUGUUGGGGACCUGCGGCUGCCGCAGGCCCUGAAAAGCAGUGGCGGGCUCGCUGUCACACCGAGCGUAGUAGAUUUUAUCUCGCUCAGGGCGUGCUGCGGGUUCCGGCCGUUAAACCACCUUCAUAACCCAAGGUUGACCUCGGAUCAGGUAGGAAGACCCGCUGAACUUAAGCAUAUCAAUAAGCGGAGGA
rnacentral:misc_RNA from 1 species